rnacentral:lncRNA from 1 species
AUGAGGUUGACUCGAACCUGUUGCUACCUCUUGUAUACUUGUGCCUGUAGCCACCAUCCAUGCGUAUAGUCUCCCUUGUAGUGCCGAAAUUGAAUACAGUACAUCGGCAUCAUUAACAUGCUAAAAUCGGAUGAAGAGCACCCUAACUAAAAUGGGCAUAACAGCAAUCUGUAUCCAAACGACAUGAUUGUACAGGCCUGCAGCUCGU